rnacentral:rRNA from 1 species
AUUGAACGCUGGCGGCAUGCCUUACACAUGCAAGUCGAACGGCAGCACGGAGUUUGCUCUGGUGGCGAGUGGCGAACGGGUGAGUAAUAUAUCGGAACGUACCCAAGAGUGGGGGAUAACGUAGCGAAAGUUACGCUAAUACCGCAUACGAUCUAAGGAUGAAAGCAGGGGACCGCAAGGCCUUGUGCUCCUGGAGCGGCCGAUAUCUGAUUAGCUAGUUGGUGAGGUAAAGGCUCACCAAGGCAUCGAUCAGUAGCUGGUCUGAGAGGACGACCAGCCACACUGGAACUGAGACACGGUCCAGACUCCUACGGGAGGCAGCAGUGGGGAAUUUUGGACAAUGGGGGCAACCCUGAUCCAGCAAUGCCGCGUGAGUGAAGAAGGCCUUCGGGUUGUAAAGCUCUUUUGUCAGGGAAGAAACGGUGAAGGCUAAUAUCCUUUGCUAAUGACGGUACCUGAAGAAUAAGCACCGGCUAACUACGUGCCAGCCGCCGCAGUAA